rnacentral:piRNA from 1 species
UAGGAUCUCUCUUCUGCCUACUAUCA